rnacentral:rRNA from 1 species
GACGAACGCUGGCGGCGUGCUUAACACAUGCAAGUCGAACGGGGUUAUCAAGCGGAAAGCUUCGGCCGGAAGCUUGGUAAUCUAGUGGCGAACGGGUGAGUAACGCGUGAGUAACCUGCCUCAAACAGGGGGAUAACACUUGGAAACAGGUGCUAAUACCGCAUAAGACCACAGUGCCGAGUGGCACAGGGGUCAAAGCUCCGGCGGUUUGAGAUGGACUCGCGUCUGAUUAGCUAGUUGGUGAGGUAACGGCUCACCAAGGCGACGAUCAGUAGCCGAGCUGAGAGGCUGAUCGGCCACACUGGGACUGAGACACGGCCCAGACUCCUACGGGAGCAGCAGUGGGAAUAUUGGGCAAUGGGCGCAAGCCUGA